GAUGAACGCUGGCGGCGUGCCUAAUGCAUGCAAGUCGAGCGAACGGACGAGAAGCUUGCUUCUCUGAUGUUAGCGGCGGACGGGUGAGUAACACGUGGAUAACCUACCUAUAAGACUGGGAUAACUUCGGGAAACCGGAGCUAAUACCGGAUGAUAUUUUGAACCGCAUGGUUCAAAAGUGAAAGACGGUCUUGCUGUCACUUAUAGAUGGAUCCGCGCUGCAUUAGCUAGUUGGUAAGGUAACGGCUUACCAAGGCAACGAUGCAUAGCCGACCUGAGAGGGUGAUCGGCCACACUGGAACUGAGACACGGUCCAGACUCCUACGGGAGGCAGCAGUAGGGAAUCUUCCGCAAUGGGCGAAAGCCUGACGGAGCAACGCCGCGUGAGUGAUGAAGGUCUUCGGAUCGUAAAACUCUGUUAUUAGGGAAGAACAUAUGUGUAAGUAACUGUGCACAUCUUGACGGUACCUAAUCAGAAAGCCACGGCUAACUACGU
rnacentral:rRNA from 1 species